rnacentral:rRNA from 1 species
AGCGAACGCUGGCGGCAGGCUUAACACAUGCAAGUCGAGCGGGCGUAGCAAUACGUCAGCGGCAGACGGGUGAGUAACGCGUGGGAACAUACCUUUUGGUUCGGAACAACACAGGGAAACUUGUGCUAAUACCGGAUAAGCCCUUACGGGGAAAGAUUUAUCGCCGAAAGAUUGGCCCGCGUCUGAUUAGCUAGUUGGUGAGGUAAUGGCUCACCAAGGCGACGAUCAGUAGCUGGUCUGAGAGGAUGAUCAGCCACAUUGGGACUGAGACACGGCCCAAACUCCUACGGGAGGCAGCAGUGGGGAAUAUUGGACAAUGGGCGCAAGCCUGAUCCAGCCAUGCCGCGUGAGUGAUGAAGGCCCUAGGGUUGUAAAGCUCUUUUGUGCGGGAAGAUAAUGACGG